CGGCGGACGGGUGAGUAACACGUGGAUAACCUACCUAUAAGACUGGGAUAACUUCGGGAAACCGGGGCUAAUACCGGAUAAUAUAUUGAACCGCAUGGUUUAAUAGUGAAAGACGGUUUUGCUGUCACUUAUAGAUGGAUCCGCGCCGCAUUAGCUAGUUGGUAAGGUAACGGCUUACCAAGGCAACGAUGCGUAGCCGACCUGAGAGGGUGAUCGGCCACACUGGAACUGAGACACGGUCCAG
rnacentral:rRNA from 1 species